rnacentral:lncRNA from 1 species
AAUAAUAAAAAUUUGUUAUAAUAUUAAAUUUGUUAAGCAUAACAUAGAAACAAUAAAUAAGUAUUACACAACAACAUCAUGGUACAAUUAACGUAGCUCCUUCAAUUCUCACUAAUAUUCUAAGAAGAUAAAUGAGGUUAUUAUACACUCAAGCACGCUCUAAACUAUGACAACAACUGUUGGAUUGCAUAUAUAUAAAUAUUUCUUAUUCCUCUACUUAGUUCUAAACAAACAUUGGCAAUUAACUUGUGGCAGGAGCAUGAAUUGUCGUCAACAUCUCUAAUCUUUUAAGCUGCAGGGGCAUAAUCAUAAUCACCGUCAUCUUUAUCAUCAUCAUCACCUUCGAAAAGAUUCAUGAGUUGGUCGUACGCACACCAUUCUUGAUCAUAGCGAACAAUAUCUUGGUGAAGCAAAGUGUUGUGAAGCAGAGACCCCAUGUUGACUUGGUACUGAAAAAAAGAAAAGAAAAAGUAGAAGCAAUAAUAAUGUAGGUAAAAUAUGAAUUCAGUUGCUUAAUUGAUUGAUGAUGAAAAGGGAGAGGGUGGUGAGGUAUAUAUAGUGAUUCGAAGCUUUUAAC